UGCGGGGUAGCGCAGCGGUAGAGCACCGGCCUCAUAAGCCGGAGGUCGCCGGUUCAAGUCCGGCUCCCGCAACCA
rnacentral:tRNA from 1 species